AGAGCGAACGCUGGCGGCAGGCCUAAUACAUGCAAGUCGAGCGGCCACUUCGGUGGCAGCGGCGGACGGGUGAGUAACGCGUGGGAAUGUGCCCUUUGGUACGGAACAACUGAGGGAAACUUCAGCUAAUACCGUAUGUGCCCUUCGGGGGAAAGAUUUAUUGCCAUUGGAGCAGCCCGCGUUGGAUUAGCUAGUUGGUGGGGUAAAGGCCCACAAGGCGACGAUCCAUAGCUGGUCUGAGAGGAUGAUCAGCCACACUGGGACUGAGACACGGCCCAGACUCCUACGGGAGGCAGCAGUAGGGAAUAUUGGACAAUGGGCGAAAGCCUGAUCCAGCAAUGCCGCGUGAGUGAUGAAGGCCUUAGGUUGUAAAGCUCUUUUACCCGAGAUGAUAAUGACAGUAUCGGAGAAUAAGCCCGCUAACUCCGCGCCAGCAGCCGC
rnacentral:rRNA from 1 species